CUGUAGAAAUUGUUUUCGUACACUUUUGCAGGAUCCUAAUUGUAGUUCUUCUGAUAUUUGGUUUCCGUUGACAAAUUUCUACUUUUGAUUUGUACAAGCAACACCACAAUUGAACCACAUUCGUAUACACAUAGAUAUGCAUAGUAGCAUGUUAAUGAUUGUUUUCAUUUCACCCGAUAAAACCAUAUAUUUUUAAAAGCUCUCACAACCGCAAGAGUUAACUACGGAUUCCUAGACGGUUUUGCUACAAGGAUGUUUUCUCAAGCUUUCGAAGCACUUGAUAUGGUAACGUUUGAAACUGCGGGAAUAAGACUGUCAUUUUCAGUAUUUCACACAAGCAUAGAUGAUCUAUAGUUAGUGCCAUUAAUGACAAGUGUUACACCGUAAUAAAACAUUAAUUCUUUCCAUAAAGUAAACAUUUGAAUUUCGCUGGUUAAACUUGUAAAUCAGGAACCAACACUUGAUGAUUGUAGCAGGUGUUUUAUAUUUCUCCAACGAAUACAAUAAUUAUUCACAUUUAGUCUUUCAAUCCAGGAUUAAUCCUCGGCUAGAGCGUAGUACCACAUUAACCCUUCUCGGGCCUUUGCAAUGUUACACGUCUGUUUAAUAUAACUGCGUUUCUUAAAUAACAGCCGAAUUUGCAGUUUUUAGUGAACGAGAAUGGCACGGCAGAAAUAUACUCCGUUGGAAGUAGUCAGCUGAAGACGUUAAUCUUUAUAACUAGUGUAUUAUUCAUUAAUUCAUUUUCCUAAUUUCGUUGUUCGCUCAGAGCACACACGAAUGAAGAAUACGUAUUGUUCUGCAUGCCGUCCAAGUUAAGGCAGGAGCAAAAGUUUCGGAUUUGGAGAUAGUAUUUAUAAUGCUUGCUUUCAUCAAUGCUCCACUAUGUCGCAAAAUGGUAGUUGAAUUUCACCGUCAUUUUCCACAAAUACAGGAUAAGAUGAGCAGUGUCACCAGGUACUGUAAUAUAUGCUUUCAUGAUUAAUAGUUCAAAUGCAUCAUCAGAAUGUGAUUCGGUGAAAAUAUUUCGUAACUUUUUGUGUUUCUCAUAUUGCUUGCUUCAUACAGUUUGGUAUCAUCGAUCUAUAUCCACGUUGCAGACUGUUGGAUAAAGUUUAUUAUUUUAUUUUUCACAAAGUAACAUAGAACUCAAUCAGAAUGUCUGUGUGUCACACACGUAAACAUGCUUAUUCUGUCACAAGCUCCAAUGUACCGUGUUUCCAUUUUUUAAUUACAGAUCAUACAAAUUUGCAUAAAAAACUUAGCGACCUUGAAAUUUCUUGUAUAUAAUGGUAUUAUAUUCCUAAAAACAAACCUUUUUCAGCUGAAAAUGUUUUUUCUUAUCAUUAGCUUAUGCCAGGAUAGGUUAUUUUCACAUAUCGCCUUUGAGAACAUAUAGCAAAGAUAUUAAAAUACACGAAUGGAACAUGAUAAAAACUGAUACGUAAUCUACAAUCAUAUUCAUAAAUAUUUUGGUCGCUUUUUCUUUGUCAAGUUUGCAUAAUCUAUCUUGAAUUUUCAUGUACAUCGUUGCAAUAAACUAUAUCAACAAACAUUUUUAGACUAUGUGACUGAUACGAAGACUCUAGCGAAUCUAAGAAAUAUUGAAUAGGAACAAGGCACAUAAGGCAGCUUUGCUGUAAUAUUCGCUAAUAAGUGCACCCGUGAAUCAAAUAUAUGAAUCAAAUAUAUUUGUUUCCUAGGAAUUUGUUCCAGUGAAAACCAAACCGCAAGCUUGUUCCGGAAAGAGAAACGAGGUUAAGAAAUCUUAUGCAUCCUCGCAUUAAACACCCUUAUUAAAUUUGCAACGCAUUGUCACGGUUGCUUCCACAAGUCAAGUUUUAACACAGGCCGCAACAAACACUCUGUUACAUCAUCAACAAUGUACAUACAUAAUAUAACACUCAAGUAUAUUGCAGCAUACCAAAUAACUUAGUAAAAGAUAUAUUUUAAGUGCAUAUUUUAAAGAUCUACUGUACUUUAAAAUAUACACCUAAAAUCUGGGCCGUCUCGAGCGGUAUCAGGUUGGACGGGGGGGGGGGGUAAAUUAAAAAAUUUGGGCCCUUUCCAGAAACUUCUUUAAUAUUUAACACAUUCCGCAAUUACAGCAUACCAGGGGCCCCUCUCCGCAAGUUGGGCCCCAUUUUUACUUUUAUUUGGGGGGUGUUACACCCAGUAGUUCCGGUCCUGCUUAAAAUAUUAUUAGAACUACAUUGAAAUAUAAAUUAAACGUAUACUUAUAAUUUACAGCCAUUUAUGUGACGAAAGCAGAGUAUUUGCUGCAUUGGCUGAAUAUUAUUAUAUCAAUAUUGAAACUAUGUAUGUCUUCAACACUUAUUGUCUUUUGACGUGACACUUCGCCAAGUAUUGGGGAAUUUAAAUUUCCAACAUAUUACCGCACUUUUUUCCUAAAAUUUUGUAGCUUACAUUUCAUUCACUUUUGCCUAAUUUGCGCACUCCAAAUUUCUGGGUGUUGCUAAAACAACAGAAUGAUGUAAUCAUGCAUUGCAGCUCUGUAGAGCGGACCGAUUUAGUGUGAAUGUUUUUAUUUUGGCAUGCAUCUGCGUGUUAAGGAAACACCAAAUAUACAAUCAUUCGUGAUAUAUUUACACCCAAUAAGUGUUAUAGCUGUUUUAAUGCACUUAUUGGGUGUAAUUUUGGUGUUUUCCGAACACCAAAAUGGUUUUCAGCAUUUACGUUAAAUAAAAAGGUGCAAUGAUCGCACCAUUCUGAUGCUGUAUCACACGCGCGGGUAUUUAAUUAAAGUGCAUGUAGCAGAGCAUUCAUUAUGUUGCCACUGUUGUAAAGUUAGUGUAACAGGUGCGUAGAAAUUAUUAUAGGCCUAAUAAAACCAUCAUUGGCCAUAUUUAUAUUAGAAGACGGCUUUAACCUCUGAGACGACUUAAAUUAAUCGUCGCAGACGUUAAAGUCCUCUAAUAUAAAUACGGGAAAUUAGAUAGACGAAUAAAAAAACAAAGUCGUCUGUUAAGUGCGUCCAAACGACGCACUUAACAAACGACUUAGUCGUCUUAGACGUUUAAUUCGUCUAGUAUAAAUACGAGAUGACCAUACUUGAACGCAUUUAAUAGGGAAACACCACAGAAGGUUGUCAAAUUACUACAUUUUAUAUUUUCCUGGUUUCAUUCUAUACUGGUUUCCAACUUUUCAUCUCGUAUUUAUAUUAGUCGCACUUAACACAAGACGUUUAACUCGUCCAGACGUUUAAGACGUCUUCUAAUAUAAAUACGGCCAUUAAAAUAAUUUAAUUAAAACAUCAUCAACUAUACAGGGUGUAUCAAAAAAAGCGAAAUCCUCGACUGAAAUGUAAAUUGCUAAACAAAUAAUAGACGAAAACGUUAAAGUUUACAUUCAUUUUAAAGCGUAGCCAUUCAGCUUUCUAACAGUAGGUUGUUUCUUAAAUUUGACUCAUUG
rnacentral:lncRNA from 1 species